GGGGAGUGAAACAGUACCUGAAACGGAUUGCCUACAAGCAGUUGGAGGGUCCUUGAGGCCUGACAGCGUACCUCUUGCAUAAUGGGUCUGUGACUUAAUGUAUCAAGCAAGCUUAAGCCGAUAGGUGUAGGCGCAGCGAAAGCGAGUCUUAAAAGGGCGCAUGAGUCAGACGGAUCAGACCCGAAACCGAGUGAUCUAGGCAUGAGCAGGAUGAAGGUUGGGUAACACCAACUGGAGGUCCGAACCCACACCUGUUGAAAAAGGUCGGGAUGACUUGUGCCUAGGGGUGAAAGGCCAAUCAAACUCGGAGAUAGCUGGUUCUCCGCGAAAGCUAUUUAGGUAGCGCCUCGGACGUAUCCCUCGGGGGGUAGAGCACUGCAUGGAUGAUGGGGGCCCACAGCCUUACUGAGUCUAAGCAAACUCCGAAUACCCGAGAGGACUAUCCGGGAGACACACGGCGGGUGCUAACGUCCGUCGUGGAGAGGGAAACA
rnacentral:rRNA from 1 species